AUUGAACGCUGGCGGCAUGCUUUACACAUGCAAGUCGAACGGUAACAGGCCGCAAGGUGCUGACGAGUGGCGAACGGGUGAGUAAUGCAUCGGAACGUGCCCAGUCGUGGGGGAUAACGCAGCGAAAGCUGCGCUAAUACCGCAUACGAUCGAUGGAUGAAAGCGGGGGACCGUAAGGCCUCUCGCGCUUGGAGCGGCCGAUGUAGGAUUAGGUAGUUGGUGGGGUAAAGGCCUACCAAGCCAACGAUCUGUAGCUGGUCUGAGAGGACGACCAGCCACACUGGGACUGAGACACGGCCCAGACUCCUACGGGAGGCAGCAGUGGGGAAUUUUGGACAAUGGGCGCAAGCCUGAUCCAGCAAUGCCGCGUGCAGGAAGAAGGCCUUCGGGUUGUAAACUGCUUUUGUACGGAACGAAAAGGUCCGGGUUAAUACCCUGGGCUAAUGACGGUACCGUAAGAAUAAGCACCGGCUAACUACGUGCCAGCAGCCGCGGUAAUAC
rnacentral:rRNA from 1 species